rnacentral:pre_miRNA from 1 species
UAUUAAAAAUCGCAUCCAUUCCUACAGUUGAAAACUAACAUGCAUGACAGAAUAAUUAUACAAUUAGAUAUAACAUAUAACGUAUAUCUCAUUCUGAUGCACACGAACUAAAUUUUAGUUGCAAAAAUAGAUGAAACUUUAAAUA